rnacentral:lncRNA from 9 species
GCACCGUGGGGCCUUUAUGCCAAGGAAGCGGAAGCGGAAACCGUGUAGGCCCGCGAGCAGAGCAGAUUUAUUUGCGGAAGCCUAAACGUGGGAACAAGCGGCAUGACCUUCGGGGGGUGGGUGAGUGAGUGCUUGGUGUGGACCCAGGCCUCCGGGCAGCAGUACAGAGGAAGCGCUGACCACUGACCCACGCAACCAUCUGGAUGGAUGGCUCUCGAGGGCAGUGCGUGAGGGAGCACGCGCCCCCUCCAGGUGGCAUCCUGCCGGGUUCCAUUUAUGUGCCGCAGUAACUGAGACUGGAGUUCUGGUUGCCAGGGAUCGAGGGGGGGGGAGGAGGAGGGGGGAGGCCGUGGCUAUGACAGGUCAACAGGAAGGACCCUCAGGAGGGGACAGGCUGGACCUCGAUCGCAGUGGGGGCCACCUGAACCCACACGCGUGACGAAACUGCCCGGAGCUACGCGCGUGCACACACACACACACACACACACACACACACAUUCGGACACGCAACCGGGGACAAAACCCCGAGCAGCGCUCGCGAGGCACCCACGGCAUCGCCUGGGAAGCGAUCGCACUGGCUGUGCGACAGGCUGACGCAGCAGUACAGAGGAAGCGCGGACCACCGACCCACGCGCGAGGGGCUCCGGCCUCUCGGGCGUCUCCGUGUAACUUCCUGUGCGCUUCAUUACUUCACAAUACAAGUACACACCGGAAGCACACCAGCAGGGCUGAGCGUGCCCACGCCGGACCGCUCGCGCGGCUCGGCACGGAGAGGCCGGGCAGGACGUCCGGCGACCCGCAGCCCGCCGGGCCGCCCGCCGGUGGAGGACGUGAGGCCGGCGAGGGCCGUUCCCUCCCCGCUUCCUCGCAGGCUCUCCCUUCUCUCCACCCGGCGACUCCAGCGACUGCAUGUUGCCCCUGCCAUCUCCCGAGGCUCCACCGCCGCUCUGCCCAGACCCUGUGGGGCUCCAGCUGAAGAGCCGUCCCAGGUCGUGACCCCUGCGGGGCAGCUGCCCUCACAGGCUCUGCCCUCCUCCGAACGCAUACCCGAUUGGGGGACCGGCUGCUGAAACAGGAUGUCUCACGGUGCCCUCUGGAGCUCUGAUGCGACGGCGACCGAACUACGUGUCCUGCCUGCGCUACCUCAGGCUCAUGGUCGGGACGUCAGGCCCUGCUGGCACCAGUGGGAAAGCAACAUUGCCCACCCGUGCCCGCACCCACCACGAAGCAUCCAAGUCUCAGCUCUGGCAUUGGAAAAGCAAGAGGCAGAAGCUGGCGGCCUGGGGCAGCCGGGUGGGAGUGGCUUGCACCAAACAAGGGAGGCCAGGCUGUGAGAAAAUUAGAAGCAAUUAAUUUCUCUUGUUCUUUCCGGUUUUUUUGUUUUGUUUUGUUUUGUUUUUGCUGCACCCAUGGCAUAUGGAAUUUCCUGGGCCAGGGAUCGAAUCCGAGUCACAGCUGCAACCUACAGCCAGCGCAGUGGCUUAAAGUGCUGGUGCUCUUUGGCCAGGGACUGAACCUGCACCUCCACAGCGACUGGAGCCCUCACAGAGACAAUAUCAGAUCCUUAACGCCCUGCACCACAGCAGGAACUCCAUUUUCUGUGUAUCUGUAUGUCUUACAUUUUCUUUUGUUUUCUUUUUAGGGCCACAUCUGCAGCAUAUGGAAGUUCCCAGGCUAGGGGUCAGAUUGGAGCUGCAGCUGCUGGCCUACACCACACAGCAGGUGGAAUCCAAGCCACAUCCACAAGCUACGCCGCACCUUGCAGCAAUGCCAGAUCCUUAACCCUCUAAGCGAGACCAGGGAUUGAACCCCACAUCCUCACAGACAGUAUGUCCGGUUACCCGCUGAGCCACAAUGGGAACUCCUGUAUAUCUCUAUGUUUAAAUUCGACAAAAAAAAAGCUUGUUUUUUAGGAAAAUACACACACACACACAAAGGCAGGGAGGUGGAGACAGCCUUGGCUGCAGCAGAAAGAAACGUCUAGGAGCUCUGAGUAGGAUGGCUCACCAUGUGUCCACAUUCAAGAGCCCCCAAAGGCUCAAGAGCCCCCAGGGUACAUGCAGG